rnacentral:siRNA from 1 species
GUGGCAGCAUACGGUUGGUUAGUA